UAUCUACAAUCUACAACCUUAGUGUCGUGCGCAUCUUGUAGGGUAUUUUCGUUUGAGCACCAUAAGGUCUUAUUAGUUCUGUUCCUAAGGAUGCGCUAUAUUGGUGUCAUUGUUCUCUUGGUGUGCCUUGAGAUUGAGUUAUCUGUGUGGUGUUCUUCCCCAGUAUUGGGGACGCAGGCUUGGGACUCUGCUGGAGUCAAGUCUGAGUUGUAGGCUUGGUAGUUGACUUUUGCCCGUGACGUUGGGUUGGCGUUGUGAGGCCUGAUUGACUACGGCACUGAGAUUAAGGUGUGCUAUAGUCCUUUGAAUGUAAUCUGUAAUUGCUAUUGAUAUUUAUUCAUAAUGUAUGCCUCAUAAUAUCAUAUAUAUCAUUAACUCAUUAAACCUUUGUUGUUAUA